rnacentral:lncRNA from 1 species
GACCAAUUAGGGUUUCAAUGUCAAUUUCAAGUUGGGAAACUUAGUCGAUUUUUGAGAAAACCAUCUAUUGCAUCCAGCCAUUUGAUCAGUUGGGGUUUUGACCCGUGCUUCACUGAAAAAAUUUGGUCAACGAAUUCCAAUCUCUUCGAUAGGAAGUUCGUCAAGGUCAAACCUGUGCGUUUUUGCAAAUUCUUGUAUCGAUCAAAAGUGAUCAAUCCCUUUGGACGAUGUCCUCAUUUUGACAAACGUCUCUUCUCACUCUAAUUGACCAAAUUUUUCAAAAUUAUUUCUCACUCAAUGAGUUGAUCAGAUUCAUCAGGUAU